CCCUGCAUCUGCAUUUUUGUUCUGAGUGAAACAAGUGUACAGAAUUUGGCCUAAAUUCAAUCAGCUCUAUCUUUCAAUCUCAAAAUGCCUCCCGUGCAAUUUGUCAAAAAGAAGAAUUUUGGCAACAGCAUGUAAAACUCUUGAGAUCUGUAAUGAAGAACAUAAUCAGAGACAGAGGGAGAAAAAGCCGCAUUUUUUGCUAAUUGAAACUGGUAAACCACUGCGGGUAACUUAAAUGUGACAGAUCAAAGUCACUCCUAUUGUGAAUGCUAGUCCUUGUCACUGUGCUCCUGACAGCCUCUCCAUGACCUAGCACAGGUUUUUCUUGGGGAACAAGAUACAAAUCACACAAUGAAAUACUUACUGAGGACUUACACAGUGGUUGGCGGCCGAGAUAUGAAAAUGAGUCAAGCAAGAUUUUUACCCUCAAGAAGCUUAAAGUUCGGUGGAAAAAAUGACAGAGAUGUACAAAGGGCCCUAAUUAAAAACUGGCCGUACAAGUAUUAUGAUAAAUAAAAUGCCAGGGAUUAGAAAGGAGAAAUUUACUCCGACUCACGCCCUAGCGGAUCAGGGAAGGUGAGAAUGUAAAAUGCAAAAAUCGUAAAGGAGGAACACAUUACUGCAUUUCAGGGGAGAGGACGGACAUUUUAGGGGGAGGAAACAGGACACAUAAAAGGGAUAACCGAGCAAGUGAGCACCAUGUGUCCGAGACCCACAAGCAGUCUGAUGAAGCGGGACCAGACACAGUGUAUCAGACAGGGACAGGAGUGAGGAGGCAGCGGAGAUGCAGGCUUGGGCAGCCUCAGCUGGCUCGGUAUGAAUCCUGCUCCGCAGGCAGGGAGGAGCCACUGCAGGAAACUGAGCAGGGCUGUGACUGGUCAGAUGGGUAUGUACCCGAGAAAGACCAGCUGGGGAACAAUGGUGUCUCAAAGAGGGCAGGAGCAGCAGGAAUGUAAAUGAGAACUGACUGGGGGAUUUCAGAGGUGGAUUCCUCAGAAUUUAAAAUACAAUUAGGCAAAAGGAGUCAGAGGAGGAGGGGCCAGGCAAUGAUGUUAUCCAAGACAGAAAACACAAGAAAAGGAGUAACUGACUGAACGAUAAACGCAAGUGUGUGCAUGCACACAGCCGAGAAGAUGCCACAGUGGAACACUACGGCAAAGCCCAACAUUAUGCUGGAUGAAAGAAGCCAGUCACAAAGAUCACAUACUGCAUGACACACUUUCUAUGAAAUUUUGGAACAGGGAAUCCAUGGAGACGCGCUGGGGACUGCAGCGAGUACUGUACCUAAUAGGUUCAGGGUUUCCUUUGAGAGUAAGAAGAAUGCUGUGGAACUAGACAGAUGGAGAAGGGUCAUGGAACAAGGAGUGGAAAAUAUUCCCUAGAAGACAGAGCUGGAUGACCUCGGCCAUGAAGAACACUGCAAAGAAACGACUGGGCUUGUCUGGGAUUCUCUUCAUUCUCGAGUUGAAUCUGAUCUGACAGAUGUGGAGAUUAUUUGGGAAAGAACAUGGCUUCUCUUUCUGGAGAGCAAUUUUGCUGUUUUCUGGAUUAGUUCAGCAUAGACUGACUGAAUGCCUUCAAUAUGCCUUGUUCUAGGUGUGUUUGGUAGAGGUGCACAGUGGAGGAAGUCAGGCAAAACAGCAUGGCCGUGGGGAAAUGCAAGCACUCUGGAGUUCACUACCAGUGUUUUUUAGACUGGGAAGAAGGAUCAGUUUUUGGUUUAGUUUUAAAUUUGUAAUCUGUCGAGGAAUGAUAAGGGGUCUUGUUUGCAUGGCCAGUACACAGCUCCUGCCACCUGCAACUCACCGUGUGAACUUGACAGCAUGCCAGAUCGUUUCGGUUCUAUUCAAUGAGACAAGUCCAAACACCAUUCACUGGAUGUGAGUCAAUGUCAAGUUUCUAUCCAUGUCUUCAAAUGCCUACACAUAAUGUCUACACAUGUGAUGAGCAGCUCUGUACCAAAGAACAGUUCAUGUUCUGUGGAGUGAUUUAAAGCUAG